rnacentral:miRNA from 1 species
ACACACACAUACACACACGCACACAGACAGACUGUGUGUGUGUGUGUGUGUGUGU